rnacentral:rRNA from 1 species
GAUGAACGCUAGCGGCAGGCCUAAUACAUGCAAGUCGAACGGCAAGGAUCUUUCGGGAUCCCUAGAGUGGCGAACGGGUGCGUAACGCGUAUGCAACCUACCCUUUACAGGGGGAUAGCC